UGUAGUUGUGUUCUGGGUGUGUAUUUCUACAAUUUUACAAUUUCAUUUAGCAGACACUUUUGUCCAAAGCGACGUACAACAUAAGCAAGAAUUUAGACUUGAGGGAAAAACCCUUAGUAAGUGCAAAAAGUGCUUCAAGUUUGAUUGGCUGCAGGCACUGCCA